CUCGGGGGGGGGGGGCCCUUAGCCCAGAUUGCGAGACGGUGCAGGCCAGGCCAGGGGACCCUACCGGUGCACG
rnacentral:pre_miRNA from 1 species